rnacentral:rRNA from 1 species
UACGUAGGGUGCAAGCGUUGUCCGGAAUUAUUGGGCGUAAAGAGCUCGUAGGCGGUUCGUCGCGUCGGCUGUGAAAUCCCGAGGCUCAACCUCGGGUCUGCAGUCGAUACGGGCGGACUGGAGUACUGCAGGGGAGACUGGAAUUCCUGGUGUAGCGGUGAAAUGCGCAGAUAUCAGGAGGAACACCGGUGGCGAAGGCGGGUCUCUGGGCCGAUACUGACGCUGAGGAGCGAAAGCCAGGGGAGCAAACGGG